CCUACGGGUGGCAGCAGUGAGGAAUAUUGGUCAAUGGCCGGAAGGCUGAACCAGCCAUGCCGCGUGAAGGUCAGUGCCCUUUGGGCGUUAAACUUCUUUUUUUCGGGGGCAAUAAUGGUCACGUGUGGCCAGACGAGAGUACCGUACCAAUAAGCAUCGGCUAACCCCGUGCCCGCAGCCGCGGUGAUACGGGGGAUGCAAGCGUUAUCCGGAUUUAUUGGGUUUAAAGGGUGCGUAGGGUGGGCGGUAAGGCAGCGGUGAAAUGCCCCCGCUCAAAGGGGUGAAGUGCCAUUGAUACUGCCGUGCUGGAAUGCGGAUGCGGUAGGAGGAAUGUGUGGUGUAGCGGUGAAAUGCAUAGAUAUCACACAGAACACCGAUUGCGAAGGCAUCUCACGAAGCCGCGAUUGACGCUGAUGCACGAAAGCGUGGGUAUCAAACAGGAUUAGAUACCCUGGUAGUC
rnacentral:rRNA from 1 species